UACAGAGGUCUCAAGCGUUGUUCGGAUUCAUUGGGCGUAAAGGGUGCGUAGGCGGCGCGGUAAGUCGGGUGUGAAAUCUUGGAGCUUAACUCCGAAACUGCAUUCGAUACUGCCGUGCUUGAGGACUGGAGAGGAGACUGGAAUUUACGGUGUAGCGGUGAAAUGCGUAGAUAUCGUAGGGAAGACCAGUGGCGAAGGCGGGUCUCUGGGCCGUAACUGACGCUGAGGAGCGAAAGCAUGGGGAGCGAACAGG
rnacentral:rRNA from 1 species